GGGCUGGUAGAUCAGACUGGUAGAUUGCUUCGUUCGCAAAAUUUUAAUUCGAAAUAUGAAGAGGCCGCGGGUUCGAAUCCCGCUCAGUCCA
rnacentral:tRNA from 1 species